rnacentral:piRNA from 1 species
UGGUGAAUGCGUGGAGGUGCUCUCUUCU